AGUUCCCUUAAUAAGGCAUUUCCACAGUGCAGCCAAUCCCUGAGCUACAGGCAUGUGGGGUCAGGCGGGCUGUUCAUUCCGGAAGGGCGGCUGAGACCCUGGGAACCGGACCAGCCCAGCUCACAAGUACACAAGUAUGAAGAGAAUGUUGGGAGAGGAAGUGGCCGCUCUGAGUCAGCAUGAGUCAUCCCGUCCCAAUGAGAGUGUAGGCUGAGGUGUGUGCGCCUUUUUUUUUUUUUUGGGUCUUAAUCAUGUGGACAUCAUUGGGAAUGGGGGGAACUAAGUGACUGUAUGGUGGCUGCUUUGUAAGUUUCAAAGCAACAACAGCAGCUGUGCCUGAGCCCGUGCAUGCCUUGGGGCCAGUCACAGCACAGUUCCUGAGAAGGUGGAGCCCUCAGCUUCUCCCUGAUGGCAGAGAUAGCUGUGCUUGUCUGGAAAAUGAGCUGCCAAGGACUCCUUUCCAGAAGCCACCGGUGAAGCUUGGAGACAGAGGUGGGUGAAGUUGUGCUAACCCAGGGCCCUUGAGGUUGAGUGAGCUUCCGCUUCUCAGAGGUAGAGGAAAGAGCCCUGAGUCCUUUCUGGCCAUCUGGUCUGAGUGGCCCAGUCUGAGCUGCCCAACUUCCCGGCUUCAGCGCCAGAGAAGCAAAGACAAGGCAGAACUUUGGCUUCCUUCUCCAAAUGUGCAUGAAUCACCCAGGAGCUCAUUUUAUGUCCUUUCCUUUCCCUAAAUGCUGAAAGUCACACUGAGUGGCAAAAAUGAGAAUAAAAAAUAUUUUAGGGGCUAGGAUCGGGGACUGGAAGGAGGAUAUCUGAAGAUGGGCUUGUUUGGAUUGAUUGAGGUCAGAUUUGAGCUUGGUGGCUUUUUCUCAGAGUUACUACUCCGAUGAAGGUUAGCUUUACUGUCAAGUAAAAUACAGGAAAUAUGUUUAAAAUAUGGUUCUGGUUACUGUAAAUGAAACGGUUAAAAUGUCAUAAAUACUUUAUGAUAAACAUUUUUUAAAAAAUUUGCUUAAAAGCAGCACCCCAGCCAGCAGGGCAUGACAGGGAGCUUUUUUAGUGCUGGCAUUUGAGUGUGCCGGCUUCCUGGGGUAAUGAGUCAGCACUGCUUUCUAUAAUUGGAGCAGCUCUGACCGCCCCGAGCACAGCAGGGGUCCCCCAGCCCCCAGGGCUUGGUUGUGCAGUCUUCUGUUCACAUCAGCAUUGAAUGUCACCUCAGCGCAGGGAUGAACUCUCAGCUGUGUCCCAACUCCUCCAGGCUGCAGCUGGGACCCCCUUUUCCCAAGGGCUCUGUCGCUGUCAGAAACCACACGUUUGGCUUCCUCGGCAUCUCCUUUGGCUCUGGUCGAUGACUUUUAGGUUCUGCCUUGAGGAACUGGUUGAACACAGUUUGUUAAAUGAAAAACCCACAUUUAGGCAGGGUCACGGUGCCCAGGGCUGCAGCUGCCCCCAGCAUCCUGUGCUGAUGCCCUGCCUCCAAGUCACAGUUGCCUGGGGACGAGGUGGGAGAAUUGGACGAGGGUGUGAACUUCAAAGUUGGCAUUCUGGCAGUGACAGGUCAGGUGGGAAGAUUCAGCCAGUUUAACAUCUGAGAGUAAGGUUCUAAGGGGAAAACUUUUCCAGCAACUCACUCAUUCUUCUUAGAAACACAGUGAGAGAAAGGUUGAAAGAACUGAAAAAAAAUUAAAUAGCUGGGGCUGCGGGUGGGCAGCUCAGGCAACUGUGGCCCUGAGUGGCUCUGUCCCCUUUGGGUUCUGUUUGUCUGCUCAGCAUUGUUUUCCUGUGUUGAGAUAACCAUGGGUGGGGUCCACCCUCCAGAUCACAGGCCCUACCACACCCUGGGCCACAAGCCUUGGAUGGAGCCAUUCGAGGGAGGCUCGGCCCCCAGGAUGAUGAGGCCUCUAGAUCAUGCCACCACCUGCCACAGAGGGUGACCCAGGCUCAGGGAGUUGGUGUCUGUCCAGUGCUCAGAGCAGGGGCUGGAUGUAGAAGGGAUGCAUGAAUAUUAUUCCUAGGUCCUCAGUCUCCUGGCCUCAAAGGCACUUGGUAGUGAGCCCUGGGUUAGUUAGAUCAUUUUAAAAGGAUCCUGGUGUUCCAUGGUUGGCAGGAGGGUUCCUGGGGCUGAGAAUCAGCUCUGUAGGGCGGACACCAGCUCUUCCCAAGGUGGUAGGCCAGCCCUGGGUGUCUCUUGGUGAGUCACCUUUGUGAGUGCCAGAGGAAUGCCACCUUCAUGGAGAUGAGGAUCACAAAGGAAAACAGCAGAUCACGGUGGGUCCAAGGGUAUGUGGACCACACUCCGGUUCCCAUCCCAGAGAAGGUGCUGGUUCCUGCAUGGGUCCUCCCUGUGGGGCCUGCCACUGGGUUGCAGGUUGCAAGCCCUCUUAGGAGUGCCACUGGUUAAGCAUCCAGGUAGCACAUUAGCCAUGUUCUUCCAUGGAGGAUUUGGGCAGUUGUGUGGAUUCUGGAACUCGAGUCACUUCUUACAGUACAGACAAGCUAGGAGAGAACCAACAUGAUCACUUUUGCCAACAGGAGAAAGAGUCACUUAACAAGGCAAGCAGCAAGGUCACCAACAGGAUGAAAACAGGGCCUCUUUCAACAGGAUCUGCUGUCCGGGUAUUUCCAACUGCCAGAGGGGGCCAGUCCUGCCUGGCUGCAGACAGUAGUAAAAAGGAGCACAUUCCAUGGUGGAAACUAGUGAGCAGUUUAAAAGGAUAUCUACUGUAAAAG
rnacentral:lncRNA from 1 species